rnacentral:lncRNA from 1 species
ACAGAGUCCAAGAGCUUACCAGUUUGCAAAGGAGUCGCAGAAGAACGCUGAAGUUGCUCGAGCCUAUCUGGAGAAGGCGUCUCAACGGAUGAAGAAGUGGGCUGACAAACGCAAAAGGCCAGACCCAUUCAAAGUCGGAGACUUGGUACUCAUCAAGACCGCGACUAGUUACGAACAUUCAGCCGAGUACACCGAGCGCACAAAGGAAGAAAGACAGGAACUAAGCCAACUAACA